AACGUAGGGGGCUAGCGUUAUCCGGAAUUACUGGGCGUAAAGCGUACGUAGGCGGCUUUGUAAGUUAGAGGUGAAAGCCCGGGGCUCAACUCCGGAAUUGCCUUUAAGACUGCAUCGCUUGAAUCAUGGAGAGGUGAGUGGAAUUCCGAGUGUAGAGGUGAAAUUCGUAGAUAUUCGGAAGAACACCAGUGGCGAAGGCGACUCACUGGACAUGUAUUGACGCUGAGGUACGAAAGCGUGGGGAGCAAACAGG
rnacentral:rRNA from 1 species